rnacentral:rRNA from 1 species
GACGAACGCUGGCGGCGUGCCUAAUACAUGCAAGUAGAACGCAGUUGCGAACGGGUGCGUAACGCGUCGGUAAUUGCCUCAAUGCGGGGGAGAACUAUUGGAAACGAUAGCUACUACCGCAUACUGUGAGUUGGACCUGCGUGGUAUUAGCUAGUUGGUGAGGUAAAGGCUCACCAAGGCGACGAUACAUAGCCGGGCUGAGAGGGUGGUCGGCCACGAUGGGACCGAGGCCCGGCCCAGACUCCUAAGGGAGGCCGCCGUAGGGAAGCUUCGGCAAUGGGCGGCAGUCUGACCGGGCGACGCCGCGUGAAUGAGGGAAGUUUUCGGGUCGUAGAGCUCCGUAGUCAGCGAAGCGGUACUUAACGAGAAGGGGACGGCUAACUACGUGCCAGCCGCCGCGGUAAUAC